UGGGGAAUCUUGCGCAAUGGGCGAAAGCCUGACGCAGCCAUGCCGCGUGAAUGAUGAAGGUCUUAGGAUUGUAAAAUUCUUUCACCGGGGACGAUAAUGACGGUACCCGGAGAAGAAGCCCCGGCUAACUUCGUGCCAGCAGCCGCGGUAAUACGAAGGGGGCUAGCGUUGCUCGGAAUUACUGGGCGUAAAGGGCGCGUAGGCGGAUCGUUAAGUCAGAGGUGAAAUCCCAGGGCUCAACCCUGGAACUGCCUUUGAUACUGGCGAUCUUGAGUAUGAGAGAGGUAUGUGGAACUCCGAGUGUAGAGGUGAAAUUCGUAGAUAUUCGGAAGAACACCGGUGGCGAAGGCGACAUACUGGCUCAUUACUGACGCUGAGGCGCGAAAGCGUGGGGAGCAAACAGG
rnacentral:rRNA from 1 species